GAUGAACGCUGGCGGCGUGCCUAAUACAUGCAAGUCGAGCGAACAGACGAGGAGCUUGCUCCUCUGACGUUAGCGGCGGACGGGUGAGUAACACGUGGAUAACCUACCUAUAAGACUGGGAUAACUUCGGGAAACCGGAGCUAAUACCGGAUAAUAUAUUGAACCGCAUGGUUCAAUAGUGAAAGACGGUUUUGCUGUCACUUAUAGAUGGAUCCGCGCCGCAUUAGCUAGUUGGUAAGGUAACGGCUUACCAAGGCAACGAUGCGUAGCCGACCUGAGAGGGUGAUCGGCCACACGGGAAGUGAGACACGGUCCAGACUCCUACGGGAGGCAGCAGUAGGGAAUCUUCCGCAAUGGGCGAGAGCUUGACGGAGCAACGCCGCGUGAGUGAUGAAGGUCUUCGGAUCGUAAAACUAUGUUAUUAGGGAAGAACAAAUGUGUAAGUAACUAUGCACGUCUUGACGGUACCUGAUCAGAAAGCCACGGCUAACUACGUG
rnacentral:rRNA from 1 species